ACCUUCUGUGGUGUAAUUGGUAGCGCCUUGGCUUAAUAUUUAUAAGUCCCAGGUUCAAGUCCUGGUCGGGGUA